GGGCCGGAAAGGAACUUAACCCAUCGUUGCUGGGGGCUGUCGCUCCUUACCGGGCCGUCGCGCCUUACAAAGAGGAAUGAUUGUUGGUUUUUUUUUUUUUUAAUGAAUGGAGGGCGGCGGCAAGCAGCAGCUGCAGCUGGAUCAGCUGCGCGUGCUGUACCCCACCCGGCCUGGGAAAGAAGAACUAAAGUCUCUUGACUUGCAGAGAAGUAAAUUGAAGCCAUCACCAACAUGACAGGAAGCCUGAAAAUGCUCCUUGUUGUCAGAUAGAAGGUGUCAAGGGGGAAGAAGGGGAACCUGGCAGAGCUGGAUGUCCCUGCCUGUUGUUGUGGCUGUUACUGAUGGAUGAUGCAGAUGAUGAAGAUUUCACUUCAAGUCUCAACACGGUGUUCCAGCAUGGGAUGCAGCAAGGGUGAAGCAUUGGUGAAGAGACAAGCCCUGGGUCAUCCUCUCAAGUUAUCAUUUUCUUCCAACUUAAAAAAAAACUCCCUGAAACCAACAAGCCAGGAUUUGGGAAUAACCAGUUGGUCACUCAGCUCUAGCCCAUAGCAAUUUGACCAAUCUAACUUCCUAGGCCAGAACUGAGGAAGAAGAUGGGGCCAGUCAGAAAACAGACUGCAGCCACCUGGGGAUGACAGAAGCUGGUAGGAGAGUUGUUGAGAGGCAGGUGGGAAACUAGGGCUAGGCAGAAUUAUUUCAUUUCCCUUUAAUUAUAGUUCUACAAAACCCACUUGGAAGCAGAUUGAAUGUGGGAGGCCAGGUGAGCAGCUUGAAGAGCUGAAUGAAACCUUGCCGGUUUAGUUAGGGGAAGAGAUUAGGAGGCUGCAGAUGCCCAUUCUCGUGCCAUUAUUAGAUCAGACCAGAAUUUAGAAAGGCUUCAUUAUCUUUCCAUUUUUCUAAGGUUCUAAUGAAGUGAGAUGAAUUGGGAAGAAGUCAAACUCAGUCUUUCUCUUUUUUAAAACAGUUUAUCUUCCAUCUUAGGACACAUACUGUAUAUUGAUUACAAGGCAGAAGAGGGGUAAGAACUAGGCAAUGGGGGUUGAGUGACUUGCCCAGGGUCACACAGCUAGGAAGUAUCUGAUGUCACAUUUGAACCCAGGACCUCCUGUCUCUGGGCCUGACGGAGAAGAUGGGGUCAGUCAGAAAACAUAUCACAACUUCCUAGGAAUGACAGAAGCUAGUAGGAAAGUUGUUGACAGGCAGGUGGGAAACUAGGGUUUUCUCUACUGAGCCCACUAACUCAAAUUCAAUCUUUUACAUUUUUUUUCAUUUUAUUUUUCAGUUAUCAAGCUCUUAUUUUCUCUCACUCCUACCCUCCCUCCAUUUAAAGGGAAAAAAGGACUCCAAGGGUCCAUGAACAAUCAAGCAAACAGAUUCACACAUUGGCCAAGUCCAAUCUCUAUCUAGAUCCAUCACCUCCCAAACUCUGUCUCAUUAAAAAAAAAAAAUUCCUAUCAUUCAUUCACUCUCUUCUUUAGCAAGAAUGUAUUAAGUUUAUACUAGGUGCCAGGCACUGUGAUAGCCUGGGGGAUACAAAUUAAAAAAGAAAAAAAAGCAGGUCUUAUCCACAAGGAGUUUAUAGUGUACACAGUGUGUGUGUACACAGAAAAAUAAAUAUAAAAUAAUAUGAGGAGGGUCUUGACA
rnacentral:lncRNA from 1 species